AUGGGCGCAAGCCUGAUGCAGCCAUGCCGCGUGUAUGAAGAAGGCCUUCGGGUUGUAAAGUACUUUCAGCAGUGAGGAAGGGGGUGUCGUUAAUAGCGGCAUCUCUUGACGUUAGCUGCAGAAGAAGCACCGGCUAACUCCGUGCCAGCAGCCGCGGUAAUACGGAGGGUGCGAGCGUUAAUCGGAAUUACUGGGCGUAAAGCGCAUGCAGGUGGUUUGUUAAGUCAGAUGUGAAAGCCCGGGGCUCAACCUCGGAACUGCAUUUGAAACUGGCAAACUAGAGUACUGUAGAGGGGGGUAGAAUUUCAGGUGUAGCGGUGAAAUGCGUAGAGAUCUGAAGGAAUACCAGUGGCGAAGGCGGCCCCCUGGACAGAUACUGACACUCAGAUGCGAAAGCGUGGGGAGCAAACAGGAUUAGAUACCCUGGUAGUCCACGCCGUAAACGAUGUCUACUUGGAGGUUGUGGCCUUGAGCCGUGGCUUUCGGAGCUAACGCGUUAAGUAGACCGCCUGG
rnacentral:rRNA from 1 species